rnacentral:rRNA from 1 species
CCCUUAGACGUUCUGGGCCGCACGCGCGCUACACUGACCAGUGCAACAAGCAUCCGUCCUUGGCCGACAGGCCCGGGCAAUCUUUGAACGCUGGUCGUGAUGGGGAUAGACUUUUGCAAUUUUUGGUCUUCAACGGGGAAUUCCUAGUAAACGCAAGUCAUCAACUUGCAUUGAUUACGUCCCUGCCCUUUGUACACACCGCCCGUCGCUCCUACCGAUCGAAGAGUUAGGUGAAUUGUUUUGAUCGAUAAGAUUUGACUAUGGUCAACUCUCGUUGUGAAAUUCUGUGAAUCUGACUGUUUAGAGGAAGGAAAAGUCGUAACA